rnacentral:lncRNA from 1 species
CUGGUACAUUUUUUUUUAUUUUUCCCGGCCGGUACAGGCUUAUACGGCCGGCCGGUACAGGCUCAUACGACUGGUAUUAAAAAAUUGAAAAUAAAAACCGGCCGGUACAGCUUGUCACGGCUGGUAUUAAAAAAAUAAAAAAAAUUAUUUUAUUCAAGCAACUUGCUGCUAAACAGACUCGAACUCGCAACCUCAAACUCCAAACACACGUCAUAUGACCACCCGAGCACCACGGGCCUAGCUGUUAAUUUCAGCCAAGGAUAUGUCUUUAUAUUAAAACUUCACCAUCCCCCAAAAUCUAUAUUCUUGCAUUAUUAUUAUAUUACGAAACAAAUAUUAUUAAUAAGUCUAUAUAAUACAUAUG